rnacentral:rRNA from 1 species
GGCCAGCAGCCGCGGUAAUACCGGCGGCUCGAGUGGUGGCCGAUAUUAUUGAGUCUAAAGGGUCCGUAGCUGGCUUUGCAAGUCCCCUGGGAAAUCCAGCGGCUUAACCGUUGGGCUUCCAUGGGAUACUACAUUGCUUGGGACUGGGAGAGGUAGGAGGUACUCAGGGGGUAGGGGUGAAAUCCUGUAAUCCUCUGGGGACCACCGGUGGCGAAGGCGUCCUACCAGAACAGGUCCGACAGUGAGGGACGAAAGCUAGGGGCACGAACCGGAUUAGAUACCCGGGUAGUCCUAGCCGUAAACGAUGCUCGCUAGGUGUCACGGCAGUCGUGAAUUGUCGUGGUGCCGUAGGGAAGCCGUGAAGCGAGCCACUUGGGAAGUACGACCGCAAGGUUGAAACUUAAAGGAAUUGGCGGGGGAU